CGGGUGGCUAGGCCGGGCGGCUGGGCCUCGCCUGUCACGGCAAACGGUCCAUAAUGGCCGGGCCGAAGCUCGAGGGCGAUAUACAACACUAAGAUGCUCCAGCUACUCAACAAUGAAAUCUCGCCUCCACGGGUCUAUCUAACUCCGAAUCCCCCAGGGCAGGAAUGCAGCAAGGGUAAGGAGUUAGACAGAUGCUGUGGAGAUACGGGAUUUAGAAGAGUAGCUGGGCCAAGCAUCUUAGGGUUGUAUAUCCACCGAGAGCGCGCCACCCG
rnacentral:SRP_RNA from 1 species